rnacentral:rRNA from 1 species
UACGUAGGGUGCGAGCGUUGUCCGGAAUUAUUGGGCGUAAAGAGCUUGUAGGCGGUUUGUCGCGUCUGCCGUGAAAUUUCGAGGCUCAACCUCGAACUUGCGGUGGGUACGGGCAGACUAGAGUGUGGUAGGGAGACUGGAAUUCCUGGUGUAGCGGUGAAAUGCGCAGAUAUCAGGAGGAACACCGAUGGCGAAGGCAGGUCUCUGGGCCACUACUGACGCUGAGAAGCGAAAGCAUGGGGAGCGAACAGG